rnacentral:rRNA from 1 species
AGAGAGAGACAUGCGCGCAUAUCAAUAAGCGGAGGAAAAGAAACUAACAAGGAUUCCCCUAGUAACGGCGAGUGAAGCGGGAAGAGCUCAAAUUUGAAAUCUUAAAGGUUUUCCCUUGACGAAUUGUAGUUUAAAGAAGUGUUUUCUGUUGGAGUUUUGGUAAAAGUUCUUUGGAAUAGGACAUCAUAGAGGGUGAGAAUCCCGUAUUUGACCAUUACUUUCAGCUUUGUGAUACACUUUCAAAGAGUCGGAUUGUUUGGGAAUGCAGUCCAAAAUGGGUGGUAAAUUUCAUCUAAAGCUAAAUAUUGGCGAGAGACCGAUAGCGAACAAGUACCGUGAGGGAAAGAUGAAAAGAACUUUGAAAAGAGAGUUAAACAGUACGUGAAAUUGUCAAAAGGGAAGCGUUUGACACCAGUGUUGUCUUUCUGAAAAUCAAUUAAAGAACUGUUUAUGCUAAGUUGUUUAGACUUUAUCAGCUAACUGUUUAGUUUUGAGCUUUUCUUUAAUGCACUUUUCAGUUAACAAGUCAACAUCAAUUUCUUUUGCUGUAAAAAAGCUUGAGGAAGGUGGCUUGAGAUUCGUCUUAAGUGUUUAUAGCCUCUUGCCUAUGCAGUCGGAGAGAUUGAGGUCUGCAGCGUAGAUCCUUCGGGGCUAAAUGCAUUUGUGCUAAGUUAUAGCAUUUUAUAGACAACUUGUUGACUAUGAUUUGUCUUGUAGCUUACUCGCUUAUGUUAUUUUACCUACGCUUAGGAUGUUGAGCGCAUGUCUCUCUCU